GACGUAGGGGGCCAGCGUUGCUCGGAAUUACUGGGCGUAAAGGGUUCGUAGGCGGUGCGUCAAGUCGGGAGUGAAAUCUCUGGGCUUAACUCAGGGGCUGCUUCCGAAACUGCCGUGCUUGAGUGCGGGAGAGGCGAGUGGAAUUGCAGGUGUAGCGGUGAAAUGCGUAGAUAUCUGCAGGAACACCCGUGGCGAAGGCGGCUCGCUGGACCGCAACUGACGCUGAGGAACGAAAGCUAGGGGAGCAAACAGG
rnacentral:rRNA from 1 species